CCUCGCAGAAAAAUAUUGACAGUUAAUAUUAGUGAUCUACAUAUAAGCAUGCAAAGAAAAAUAUCACUAACACUAAAAGUAUCACAACUAUAUGCAGUUAGAUAUGAAAUAAAAUAUCAAUUAAUAAAUUAUCAAAUAUCUAGCACAAAUAGUUAUGCUUCAAGUAUAUACACUAAUAUAAAUGGAUUCAGCCUAGAGAGAAUCUAAGUAACUCCACAAAUACUAGUAUAUCAUGACUAAAUUCUAGCUAGAUUCAAACUAGAUACCAA
rnacentral:lncRNA from 1 species